CCCCAGCGCCGGCCCCGCCCCCCCAGCCUCCAGAAGCGGUGCCUGCGCCGCAGCCCCGUCUCGUUUUCCCGAGUCUCUGAUUGAUCGUCCCCUCCCUUCGCGCAGAUCCAGCGCCCUUCCACCUAGUAGGUCAGCACGCUGGGGAGCCCCACUGCUCCCCGCUGAGGAUUUUCUCGUUUCCUUCUACGGGCGAGAGCCCUGGCAAAGGAGCUGAUCGUGGUGGACUCGGCAGGCCAGGAGGAUGGAGACCCCACGUCUGAGUCGGGCAGAAAGGAACGAGAUUGUGUUGAGAGAAAUGGGACAAGCGGAAGGAAGAACUCACAGCCUCUCCAUCUGACAGUCAGCAGUGCUUCUGCAAAUGGGGUGUAGUCUCCCAGGAGCCGUUUUUAUUAAAAAUAUUAGAAGUGUGUGAGAGGACUGGUUCCUCCAGACCCUUGCUAACACCAGGAGCCCGGGCUGCGUGUCUGCCUCCCCUCCCGGAUUCCGUUCCGGGGGGCCAGCCCCGCCAGCAGCAGGAGGGGACGUGAGACCAGAUUUGUAGCUCCUGCUGUUCAGAGCAGAAGGGCCACUUCUGACCCGGAGACCAGCUAAUGUCCACUACCAGGCCCCCGAGGUCACUCAUGCAGCACGAGUCUCGAACAGCGCCUGAGGCUGCGAACGUGUGGGUCGGGCUGGUCGGUUAUGCGGGACGAACCACAGGAACCUCCGUCCGGUGCAGCGUGUGAGCUUUCGGGUUCGUCUCCCAGGCUCUGACGCACGAUCACGGGCUGGACAGGCCCAGCCUAGAGCGCGGGAGCCGGGGGGAGAAUGAUGUAGGGCCGGGUGCGGGUUGCCGGGUGCCAACCAGGCCGAGUUCUCCCAGAAACGUCUUCUGCAAAAGCAGCUUCAGAACCUCCAUCCCCCGGAGACCGCUGGGACCCAGUGUCUCUGGGUCCUCAGAGCAGAUAAUCGGAUAAAGCUUUGCAUCCUCAUCCUGUGGCUUUCUGGUCACUGUCAAGACUGUCGCCUUCUGACGUCCUCUCACAGUCGGCGUGGUGCCUCCUGCGGGCCCGCAGGUGCUGAGGAUCGCGUCCUGUACCAGACAGACAUCCAUGGUGCCUGGGGGGCUGGGGGGCGUGGGCAGGAAGCUCCCUCUGCCUGACUGCGCCCCAGCCUUCACCCCCUUGGAACUCUCCCGGAGUCUUGCUUCUUGGGGAACUGUCCCGGCACUGGCUGGGGUUGGCAGUCAGUCCUCUCCCCGCUCCUCGCACUGGCGACAGAGUCCUCCCGCUCCUCGUUCUGUUUGGCCGCUGUAGCAGAUGUUACUUUGACCACAGGACCUUUGCCCUAUUUAUGGAGAAAACCAAAACCACUGUGGGUAUCCUUCUUUUCUAAACACUUAGGAACGGGGAACGGAGGGUGGUCAGGAGCCGCCCGCUCAGCGCGUUCUGGUUUCUGGCCAGCCUGCCAGCAGCUCGAGGCUUCCCUCUGCUGGGCAAGUUUGGGAACACACCGAAAAGUUAUCGUCCAGUAUUGUCUUCCCUCCUUGCUCCAGAAGAAUCAGCUUAUCGUCUCUAAGAAGGGUCUCCUUAGCCUCAGAUUUCAUUCAAAGUCUUACCUUCUGAAAGCGUGCCCUGCGUGCAUCCUGGCGUGGGGUUGUCAGUGUUCUGGGUGCUGUUGGGAAGGCCUCUGGAACAUCAGUGGAGAUGCUGGAUGAGAGAUGGAGAUGCUGGAUGAGAGACGAAGUGGGCUGCAGGAACGGGAGUGCCGAGGUGGACGGAAGCUGCUGGAAGCUCAGAGGAUAGAGGUGGGAAGAAGGUACUGGAUAUGCACGAAUGGGUUUUAAUCGAUCCUGUACCACGGAACGAUGAGCUCCUGCAGUGAGUCUCUUUCCCUAGGAGAGGCUCCCUCUUCUUACAGUAUGACUUUAGCGCACUUCUGCAGGAAAUACUGAACUCCACAGCCUGGAGGAGGGAUCUGCCCUCACAACUGCAGGUGGGCUCUGUGCUCAGUGGCAUGGAACACAGGGCAAGGCCAUGAAGAGCUUAGAUUACUGAUCAGCAAGAAUGUUAAAACAUGGUGAAAUUUCAGGAGGAACGUGGAUGGCUCCUUUUUGAGGACUAUAUUGGCCAGCUGCCCUGGUUCCUGGACUGUCAGGAGGGGAGGAGCAAGCCCUGAGAUCCCAGCGAGACCAACACUCCUCCCCUGUUCCAGAGCAAGGAGCAGUCUCUCUAAUGAGGCAGUGGGGCUUCCUGCUUCAGGACUAUCUACCCCUCCAUUUCUUCCUUCAGUUGAAAAAUUCAAGACAGUUAUAUUUUACGAUGUUGCCAAGGCACAGAUGGGAAUCCUACGCAAGGAUGCUGGCAGUUCAAGGUGGCGGUCAUGGAUUCUUCACUCUUGGUUCCUUGUGUAAUCACUUAUAAGAAGUAAUAAAAAUUUAGUGUUAUGCUUCCUGAUUUAAAAAGUUGAAAGGAGGUUGGGAUCUUCUAAGGAAUAUGUUUUCCAUGAGAAGCAUUUUCAGCAUCCAGAAUAAACUUGAAAAUCUCCGGUUUGCUCUCUAGAUAAGUUCCAUGCCCAGUGCACAGCCCAGGGCAGGGCCCGAACCCAUGACCCUGAGAUGAAGACCUGAUGUGAAAUCAAGAGUUGGACGCUCAACCGACGGAGCCACCCACGUGCCCCAAAGACAGCCUUUCUCAUCAUUGGGCGUAAAGAUGGACUUCAUUAGUGUUGAGACAACGAGAUAGUCAUUUGUAAAACACCAUAUUCUAGAAUAAGCUCCAAACAGAUCAAAGAUUGACAUGUUAAAAACAAAAAACCCCCAAAAACCCCAGAUGAAAAUAUGGGUGAAUUCCUUUGAUUCUUGAAGUGAAAAAGACCCUUCUUAAUAUUGCUCAAGUACUGAUACAUUCAAUGACUUAAAAAUAAGGCUGGGUAGCAAAUUUUUCAAAGUUAAAAGACAAAUGACUAUCUGAAAAAACAUUUUACAACUCCUGGUACAAAGGGCUUAGCUCUCCGAUACAGACACAGAGCUUCUGGAACCGAAAUAAACCAUUGUUCCUUUACACAUUGUAGGUCACAUACCUGUGGAAAGGGGUGGAGAGCUCUGUGUCCUGUUAACAGUCACAGAGCCAGGACAGACUGCUGAGGGGACAGCCGUGGAGGACUUGGGUGCAGUCUCCUGUGAAAGGGCAAGAAGGAAAAGUAUAUGUUUUGUUUCUGUUUGCAUGAAGAAACACUGGAAGGGGAACUGAGUGGCCAAGGUCAGUGACAUGGAACUUGACUUUUCAGUGUGUAUCUUUUCAUGUAAUUUUGACUUUUGUAUUAAACUAUUUAUUACAAAACGAAAUAAAAUAGAUGGUGACCAGGGA